GUUAAAUUGUCCCCAGCCACCUCUGAAGCUGAGCCUGCGGAUGAAUCCCACAGGGGAGAUGGUUAAAAAUAGACCUAGCCUUUCCCCUGGAUAACCAGCAGCCCCCGAGGCAGCAGCAGACCAGAGCCCGGCCCUGACUGAAGAUCACACGGUCCGAGCCUCUGGCAGGCUCAAGAUAACAUCUUGACCUAAGGUAUCUUUCAGUUCCUGAGCAUCAAGGUGGAACAACCCCCGGCUACUUUCCGAGGAAACCAGACAGAGGGACGCCAGAGCAGACCUCAGAGCCGUGCUCCGGACUGAAGAAAUGAUUUACUACCCUCUCAACCUCCGACCAAUCAGCUCCCAGCACGACCCUCACCCCCUCACCCACGGUGUCUUGAGGUUUUGCCCUGAACAGCCUGUAUGUGGCCUCCGCGCCAUGGAGUUCAGGCUCUUGAGUAUUCGCUUCCCAUUCGUAAUAAAAUAGCCAAUCUUUCUG